rnacentral:rRNA from 1 species
ACAAGCGGUGGAGUAUGUGGUUUAAUUCGAUGCAACGCGAAGAACCUUACCUGGCCUUGACAUCCCGGGAAUUUCCUGGAAACAGGAGAGUGCUUUCAUUAGAGAGAACCUGGAGACAGGUGCUGCAUGGCUGUCGUCAGCUCGUGUCGUGAGAUGUUGGGUUAAGUCCCGCAACGAGCGCAACCCUUGCCUUUAGUUGCCAGCAGUUCGGCUGGGCACUCUAAAGGGACUGCCGGUGUCAAACCGGAGGAAGUGGGAUGACGUCAAGUCCUCAUGGCCUUUAUGGCCAGGGCUACACACGUACUACAAUGGCCGGUACAAAGGGCAGCGACAUUGCGAGAUGGAGCGAAUCCCGAAAAGCCGGUCUCAGUCCGGAUUGGAGUCUGCAACUCGACUCCAUGAAGUUGGAAUCGCUAGUAAUCGUGGAUCAGCAUGCCACGGUGAAUACGUUCCCGGGCCUU